GAGGAGAGCAGGGGAAUGCCAUCCCACUAGAAGUAACCAAACCAAGACAGGGAAGAGACAGCGGGGUGCUUGUGACCAUGAGAGCUAUCCAAAGGGAGAGAGGGAAGGAGUUCCCAGAGUCACACCAAAGUCUGGGGCACUACAGGUGUGGCAGGAGAGUACAAGAAGGACAGCAAGACCAGACACAGGCACUCAACUGGUUCGCAGUCUCAAUGCCUUUUCAAUAUGUUCCUGUAAGUACCGGCGCAUGAGAUAGUCAAG